UCUCAUUGCCUUUUAUUCUAUGUCCAUUCAAGUCAUGUUUUAAACAAAAUUUGUUUUUCCAUAUCAUCAUACAGCCUUGGGACAAGGGAAGUGGUGUUUUCUGUCAUCCUUGUUUGAGAAGGAAAAACUUCUCAUUGACUUGUAGCUAGAAGUCUUGUUACUUCAAGUUUCAAUUAGCGCGUCUUUAUCAUCUUUAUGAUUCU
rnacentral:lncRNA from 1 species